GGGGCUGUAGCUCAGCUGGGAGAGCGCCUGGAUCGCACCCAGGAGGUCAGGGGUUCGAGCCCCCUCAGCU
rnacentral:tRNA from 1 species